CUUCAGCGCUAAAGAAGUCUUAUCUGCAUUUCGCGCUGUACUGGUCAUAUGGAAGGUAUGCGAGUCCUGUAUAGGGACUGACGUCAUUUCAAUUACCUCAGCAUACUGCAAUCAUCAGAAUUACAAGCUAGGACGUAUUGAGCUGGACCAUCUUGUUGCAUGCGAAAACAUCAAAUGGAGACAGACAAAGAUCAUGAUCUAGAAGAUGAUGAGGUAAGCAUAACAAAUAUUCAUAAAUAAAUUACAUUAGUCUAGAUUGGAUUAUUCCAGACCAGCUGGACUGGAUUGGUUUGCACCGGCUAGACUGGAUUGGUCUGGACUAGCUGGAUUGGAUUGGUCUGGACUAGCUGGACUGGAUUGGUCUGGACUGGCUGGACUGGAUUGGUCGGGACUGGCUGAACUGGAUUGGUCUGGACCGGCUGGACUGGAUUGGUCUGGACUGGCUGGACUGGAUUGGUCUGGACUGGCUGGACUGGGUUGGUCUGGACUGGCUGGACUGGAUUGGAAUGGACUGGUUGGACUGGACUGGCUAAAACGAUUUGGUUGGUGUUAAUCUAAAGAUUAAUAAAUGUUAAUUUACUAAACAUGUUUAAUCAAUCAAGAUAGAUUGAAAUAAAACCAAUUUACUCUAAGCCUGCUAUGUAUACCGUGGGAGUAUGACAAGGAGUAAAAGCACUUUGGUG